ACAGCUGACUUUCCCUGACAUCCUGGGUUUUUUCCCCCUUCCUCUGCAGCAUGGGGCACAGGUCACUUCUAGGUUUAAACUAGCAUAAAUGGUGCAUUCUCUGUAAGUUGAAGUCUUUAAAUCAUGAUUUGAGGACUUCAGUAACUCAGCCAGUGGUCAGGGGUCUAUUACGGGAGUGAGUGGGUGAGGUUCUGUGGCCUGCAAUGUGCAGGAGGUCAGACUAG